rnacentral:rRNA from 1 species
AGAGUACAACAUGUAAGGGAGCAGUGACAUUAUCAGAUUUUUUUUUCCUGUUGAGAGUCACCAAGACAUCUGAUAAGGCCUGUGGUGCUCUAUGGUUGACAUUAUCAGUAGCAGCCUAACAAUCUGGAUGGUAACACUGGUUUGGUGUGGGGAUUGCGCAACAAAUGAUAUCAAAUCCAGGUACUAGUAUUUGUAUUGUUAAUUUGAAGGUCAAUAAUGUGCUUUUUUGUUGUUGGACAAUAAGCAUUUUUAUUCAUACAUAAAACUAAAUUGUGGGCUUGUCUUAGUUGCCAAUGGAUGUUUAUGUUUCAGGAAUAAUUCAAUUAAGUGUAGGAGAUGAGAACGCGGAGGACCAGCUUCAUCAACUAUUGAAGCUGCUGCUGGUUUAAGGACUGAGAUGCUUAUGUCCACUGAAUUAAUCCUUGUAUUCAGUGAAGAAGAGGGGACGUCGUAGGACUGCUGCUGCUGGUUUAUUGACAUUAGGUAGCUGCUGCGACGCACCGCCAGAGUUGUUGUGUGUGCAUGUGUGCUUGUGUUGAGCCAGUUAUAAAAUAUAGUUGGGGAUCACAGAUCAUAUGAAAUGGAUUUUUACUGAAGGUAUU